AACAUUGAAUGUGUUUCCUCUUUUGAAAUGGUUGAUUUCUAAAAAAGAUAACGCACAAAAAAGAAAUUUUCUUUUCACAUACAAGUCUUAGGUUUUCUCGGAUUCUUACAACUUUUUCACAGACAGCCUCCAAGUUAAUUCUUCGUUUAUUCUACUUGACACCAUUGAAGCAAAGCAACAGACACACAAAAAAAUGACUACAUCAAAAAGAGUUGCAGAGAGGAAAAUAGCUAAGUUUGAGAAGAACAUCACAAGAAGAGGAUUGAAUCCUCUAACAGGAAAGAACAAAAUGGAACCAGCUCACAUUGUUCUUGCUCUCUUUGCUGUUUUGGUCAUUGGAUCUUUUGUUUUCCAGGUUGUGAAGAUGGCGAUUAAUGGUGGGACGCUCUGAAUAUGGAAGCUCUUAAUUUCUCCAGAAGACGAAACUUUAAGCACAGGAGAAAUCUUUUUAGAAUAAAUAGUUAAUAAUAAACCAAACUAUGAAUAAGUUUGUGAUUAAAAUUCUCUUUUACUUGGUUACUA